GCUACUCAGGGAAGGCUUUUUCCACAUUGCCCUCUUUUCAAUGGAACUUUCACCCUAUAGUAGGGUUUGGGGUGUUCACCAGUGAAGAGUUAGGGUUAGAAAAAUGAGCUGUCCUGGCAUGAUUUUGAUGGUUGGAACGUGUUUAGAAUGGGCAGAAAUGUUGAACUGUGC